rnacentral:miRNA from 1 species
CCUCAGACUCACUUUGUAGCCCAGGCUGACCUCAAACUCACAGUGAUCAUCCUGCCUCAGCCUCCUGGGUGCUGGGAU